rnacentral:rRNA from 1 species
AGCCCCUACGGGGGGCAGCAGUGGGGAAUAUUGCACAAUGGGGGAAACCCUGAUGCAGCAACGCCGCGUGAAGGAAGACGGUUUUCGGAUUGUAAACUUCUUUUCUUAGUGAAGAAGCAAGUGACGGUAGCUAAGGAAUAAGCAUCGGCUAACUACGUGCCAGCAGCCGCGGUAAUACGUAGGGAGCAAGCGUUGUCCGGAUUUACUGGGUGUAAAGGGUGCGUAGGCGGCUUUGCAAGUCAGAAGUGAAAUCCAUGGGCUUAACCCAUGAACUGCUUUUGAAACUGCAGAGCUUGAGUGGAGUA